UAUCUAAAUUCAUUUGUUUCACUUAUCAAUGAAAACGGACGAAGUGGGGAUACAGGUGCGGAUGGAGUUUAACACUAUAAACCGCAAUAGCGCGCGCGCGUCAGAUGCGCUCCAUCAAAAAAAGUCCACUCUUAAAAAGACAAGAUGUUUGAAAAUCUUUUGAAAAACUUGCAUAUGCAGGAUGGGUAAAACAAAAUCCAAUCUAAUUGUAUCGAAUAAUAUUUGUUUUAAAGAACAGAAUUGAAUAAAACCCAGUCGAAGGUUUUAUAAGAGUGAGAGCAGGAGUCACAUCACAGGACGAAUGAAGGUGUGCAGCUGCAGGAGAAAGCAGCUCAUGUUUGCUGCAAACUUUGCAGCUCAGACCAGAGAAGCAGUACGGAUGAGCGGGGGCUCUGCAUGAACCAGCACACCGGAGUCGUGUGGUCAUUUCAGCUGCACACUGAGCCCUUUAUGCGCUGCCAAGGCUUUUUCCUUCAACCACGGAGACUGGAUAGCAAGCAUUUGGCCAGAAUUUGGACAGGAGACUGGCUCCAACACUUCUCAAAUAUUUCAUGGCCCCUAACCUUUAUGGUGAAAUCCCCUUAGGCCUGUCUCCCAUCAAACUGGCAAUGUGUAGAAAGUCAUGAACAUGAGCUUCACACAUAGACACAUUUUGCAUUAAGGCUUUUGGCUCAGUUUUAGCCGAAGCAAUCAGCGUCUGACUAUUUGCAUCAAUCUGGAAAAAAGUGCACACACUUAAACAUGCAGCCAUUUUUUUUUUUUAGCAUUUUAUGCACUAUUAUGUGUUUUUUUUCUGUUACUUUAGCUAGAAAAAAAGUUCAGAGGUGGUUCAAUUCUGAAAGGACAGGUUUCCCAUGCAUUUACACUCACAACUAUUUCAUAUUUUCACACGUUCAGCUCCCUGAGUCAGAGAUCAACUUGCUCUAACGGGCUAUUUUAUUACAGCGUGCAACUAAGAAACCACCAUGGGACCAAUAUGUGGGAUCAGAUAAACCUCAACCUGCUCUACAUCAAAGAAGUCAGAUGGCUGGGAUGUAUAAUUGGAUCAUGAUAACCAAAAGCUUCUGAUCAUGUAAUAUUUGAAACUGCUUCCUGUGCACAGAUUCACAAAGGAAGAGCCGACUUACCCUGAAAAAGAAAUAUAUAUAUAUAUAUAUAUAUAUAUAUAUAUAUACACAUUAUUAUGAUUUGGUUUUGAUGAGUUUGUAUUUCUUUUUUUUUGUAAGUAGAAUCUGAGUUUGAGCAAAAACCUAUUUUGGAGAUAUUACUCAAACAAAGGCAGGAUCUCUCACAAAGACUUUUUCAGUUAAAUAAUUUAUUAAAAUUAUUUUUAAUUCGUAAUUUGUUGAUUUUUUUCCCAAAAUUCUUCUGUUAAAGUUACAUCUAACUAAAGUGGAAUGUGGCUACCUUUGGUUUAGUUUCUAACCUGCCUACGCCUUGUGGUAGAACUCUGCCUCAAUCCUUAAUCUUUUUUCCGCAUGCAACAUUCUUCCUUUUUUACAGUGCUGGAACUCGUAUGUCAGGAAAGAAUUUAUCUAAAGCGACUGUAGUAAUUAGCGAUGUGCUAAUGCUUGAAUUUGUAUCCAUCCCUGUAUGCAGGGUUUUUACAGCACUUUACGGUUUCACUUGAAACACAAGGAUUGACCCCGUGUCACUGGCCAUAUGGGCAGUAAAUACUUCCAUGAUAGAGUCAGUGGUUGUGCUGAUACUGUAAAAGAGGGAGUCGUGCGAUUUAUCAAACUACAGGAAAAGUACUGGAAUUGUUCUUUGGGAAUUUAAAGCAUCUUCUGCCUAGUUUCCAAAUGCACUGGUUUGAAACGUUUGGCAAAAAUAGUCUUAAAUUCUAAAAUUGCAGCAAUUAUUUUUGUGUUUGGAGCUAAUGCCAGUCUAAAAGCUAAUGCUUAUGCUUAUGUUUUGAGUUAUCAAUCAGUUUGGAAUUCAGAUAAAACAGCUCAUGAUUUUUAGAGCUGUUUGCAGAAAUUAAAUGCAUGGAAACUGAAUCAAACAACAAUGAAUUGAUAAACAUUGCCACAUGGAACUGCGUUUUUCCUCUUGUUCUCUAAAGAUCUCUACUGUUUUGUUUUGUUCAGGAACUGAUUUAUUCCGUCAUCACAUCUCACAGAAACCUCUUUGACAUUCUUGCUGGUAUAGCUGUUGUGCUAAGCAUUCACUCCUCAUUGUUUUUACCUCACAUUUGGGUGUUAUGAUGAGGAGAAGUGGUUAUACUGCAAACUAAAGUGUUGUUACAUCCGCCUGCAAACCUUUGUCCUGUGAAGUCAUGGUUAUGGUCAUUUUGAGGAUUUGGCAGCUUCAGCUAUGUAAAAUGAAGGAUGAAAGUCAGAUCAUGAAACUGCCUCAUGCUUCGUUAGAUGUAAUUAUAGUUCUUUUACCAGGCAGUUCUGCUUUCUAAACCAUUGACUGACUUGCUAUUCUUGACUGAUCAAUAAGUUGUAGUAAAGUUUUCAAUGGCCAAAAUGGUAUAAAAUGGGAUGAAUCUAAUGCUUUUGCCUUAAUUUUUUUAUCUACAGUAUAUCUUGACUGAUUCAUUGUAGGCCAGCCCCCCCCAUGAAGUGUUAAAAGUGAAGUUUUCCCUGCACAAUGCUGUUGUUAAGGUUCCAACAGUCACCUCACAUUUUGUUGCUGAGUUUUCUCCCUAUUUCUGUUUUUUCAUUCAGGGCAGGCUGAAUCAAUACCCACUCAGUCUUCAAUCACAACCACUUCUGUGGGUGUUUUGUUUACAGGUGUAUUGGCUGAGCUCUGUUUUUAGCAUUUUGCUUGAUAGCAGUAUCCUUGCUUGAACAGAGAAAUUAUGAGAAUUAUGUUUUUGUUCUUAAGGUCUUUGGCUGCUGUUGCAUCAAGCAGCAACAACCAAAAACAAGAGAACUGCCAUGUGGGAAUACCAAAAUAUAUGACGUGUAUUUGCACAAUUCUAUAAUUUGUGACAUCCAGUCCCAACUUUUUUGUUAUUUAAAUCUUUUACCUAUUGUGAUGUGAGAGCAAAGCCAAUGUCAGUUAUAGUGUUUUAGAAACAAAAUGGAUUUAACAAAGGGGUCUGCUUGAUGAAAUACAGAGAGUUAAAACCUGCAAAUGCACAUCCUAUUUUAGGUGUUUAAAGUGAAACAAAUAUCACUUCAUUUUUGGCUUCAGUAAACAUAGAAUUUCAUGUUUGUAACCUGCAAGCUUAAUCCUUCCCGUUGCUGCCAAACAAGCCUAAACCACGAACCGUCCAACACUGCUGAACAGUCGGUGUGAAAUUUUGGUGUAAUUUGACCAUGCCUCUCUAUUGUAAACUUAUCUGCUGGUUUGCAUGAACCAAUGCUUAUGACCUGGUUUUACUAUUGCAGCAAGAUGAGCUGGAAAAUUCUUCAUAAUGUAACAUCAACAACCAGACAGAAGAAAAAUAAACUCUUGAUUUAAAGGAGAAAAAACUUUUAUUUACUCAUUUUGGAAGUCUCUGAAACCAUACAUCUGAUUCAGCUAUAACUUCUCUGUUUCACAAUUUUGGUAACCUUUUAAUACCUUCAAAGCUUUGUAAUUUAUUUAAUUUAAUGAUUUAGGGGUCCACCCUGAAAGCUAAAAACCAUAACAAACAAACUUUUAACACCUUUACUUUGUUGGUGAGAAGGUCACAGCAAUGUCACAACUAAAAUGCUGAACACAGAGUUUACUAUAACUACUUUCAUCACUUUCAGAUCCUAUGAUGUAUUUUUAUUUUAACUCAUAACAAAAAGAAACUAUUAUACCAUCUAUGUUCCUCUUGAGAGCAUUUUUCACAGCAAAACCACAGAGACAAAGUCUGAGCAGCUGAUAAUGAUUCAGCAUAUGUGCUAUAACAGACCCUGAGCUCCAUGUGCCAGAUCUGGGUGUUAUCUCCAGUGAGGAUGUGCCUCUUGGUGGGCAUAGGGAUGAUGAGCUUUCACACAAGCAAGAAGGGAUUACCGUCAAUUGCUCCCAAAUUGCAACAGUACACUCCCCGGGGCCACACACGCAUGUGACAAGAGACAAGUGAUAAAUGGCUGCAUAUGUCCAUUCUACUGCAGCACAGCUCCUAACAGUUGUCAGUUGAACAGCUUUAAUACGUGAGAGGCAUUGAAAAGCUAAAGUGUUGUAAGUGUGGAAGUUGAAAAUGGUUUUCUAUCUUAACAUAUUUCUACACAUCAUUUGACAUCAGGACCUUUCAACAAAACUUGUUUAAAAUUCCUAUAUUUGACAUUUAAUAAAUUCCAUCCACUUGUCAGAAGAGCUUUUGUGAACAUGUUCAAAGCUUUUAUCUCAUAAAUGUAAGCAGAUGUAAGGAUAAAUAAAUUAUGACAUUGUGUUCACAGCAAAUCUUAAUAUUCUGGAGACUUUUUCGGCGCUCAAACCUGCUCAUCAGUUUCAAAUGAAUAUUAUAAUUUGAAACGCAAGCCUUCGGUGGGCUCUCAUUCAGGAAUUCACGUAAUUAGCUGUGAUCAUUCCUCUGCCAAAGAGCCAAGCAGAUGGCUAAUCCAGUCCCACUGUAUAAUCAAAGCAGUCAUUCUAAUGACAGUAUAAUUUCAUAAGAGGCCUUUGUCCCAGAAUAUUCAGGAGCAGCAUGGGGGAGAUUGGAGAUAUUCAUCAUCAGAGCAGAUUGGAAACAGGCCCUAAUAAAUGACACAUUUGUUUCCUGCCCGAGUGUGUCAGAGGAAUGGCAGAAUGCAGCGAAUGUGGGAUAGAGGGCUUGUGUGUGGGGGUGGCUGGGGGGGUGCCGGUUGGAGUGUGUGAGUGGACAGCAGCUGCCGUGCUCUCUACAGCCCUUCUCUGUGCAUGCACGCCUGUGCGAGUGCAU
ensembl:lncRNA